UACAGAGGCCACGAGCGUUAGGCGGAAUCACUGGGCUUAAAGCGUGUGUAGGUGGAUGGCUAAGUACCUUGUGAAAUCCCACGGCUCAACCGUGGAACUGCUCGGUAUACUGGUCGUCUUGAGGCACUCAGGGGCGAGCGGAACAGAUGGUGGAGCGGUGAAAUGCGUAGAGAUCGGGGGGAACACCCGUGGCGAAGGCGGCCAGCUGGGCCGACCCUGACACUGAGGCGCGAAGGCGUAGGGAGCGAACGGG
rnacentral:rRNA from 1 species